rnacentral:rRNA from 1 species
GACGAACGCUGGCGGCGUGCUUAACACAUGCAAGUCGAACGGUAAGGCCCCAGCUUUCUGGGGUACACGAGUGGCGAACGGGUGAGUAACACGUGGGUUACCUGCCCCGCACUUCGGGAUAAGCCUGGGAAACUGGGUCUAAUACCGGAUAGGACCGCACCGUGAGGGUGUGGUGGAAAGUUUUUCGGUGUGGGAUGGGCCCGCGGCCUAUCUGCUUGUUUGUUGGGUAAUGGCCUACGAAGGCGGCGACGGGUAGCCGGCCUGAGAGGGUGGACGGCCAAAUUGGGACUGAGAGAAGGACCAGAAGGCUACGGGAGGCAGCAGUGGGGAAUAUUGCACAAUGGGGGGAAGCCUGAUGCAGAGACGGCGGGUGGGGGAUGAAGGCCUUCGGGUUGUAAAAAGCUUUCACCAUCGACGAAGGUUUAAUGACGGUAGAUGGAGAAGAAGCACCGGCUAACUACGUG